UACAGAGGGUGCAAGCGUUGUUCGGAAUUAUUGGGCGUAAAGGGCGCGUAGGCGGUGCGGUAAGUCUGCAGUGAAAUCUCUGGGCUCAACUCAGAGUCUGCUGUAGAAACUGCCGUGCUUGAGUGUGGGAGAGGUGAGUGGAAUUCCCGGUGUAGCGGUGAAAUGCGUAGAUAUCGGGAGGAAUACCUAUGGCGAAAGCAGGCUACUGGACCGUCACUGACUCU
rnacentral:rRNA from 1 species